rnacentral:lncRNA from 1 species
AUGAGUCCCCAUACAGAUGCUUUCAAUGAUCCAACAAGAUUUGUAUUGCUAAUUCCUUCCUCUCUCUCCUUGGUGCUCCAGCUUGGUGGGUCAGCCACAUACUGCCUCCUGCUGACACUGUUUGGAAGUGGCAAGGGUUUUCUUGGAGCUGUACACUUUGUACUUGAUUCUGUAUGCAUGAAUGGACUGAUGGAAAGAAGGAAGGCUGGUGGCACAGCUCUGGCAGCCCAGUUAGUGAGAACCAGAGAGGCUGUGGUCCAGAGAAGUCAACUUUUCCUGGAGAACAAGAGCCAUGCUACCAUAUGUGUUAUGAAGUUUGUAGAAUUGCGCCCAGGAAUUAGAGUCUUCUGCUUUGCCCAUCAAGAGGCACCAGCAUAUUGAGGCACAGAGAUCUAGAACAGUUCGAAGGAAGGUCUCUGCCUGGGCUUUCUACAGCAGUUUUUUUGCUCUGAGGAGACUAAACAGUUUCCAGGAGAAUAGUGGCCAACUUACCUGGAUUUUGAAGCAUGGGCCAGAGAUACGUUUCCAGUACAGAAGAAUACCAUUCAUGACUGAUCCUUUACAGUGAUGCGUAUCAUCUUCUCUGCCUGUCCAUAAACUGUUACUGAGAUCCGUCAUAUUCAUGCUGUAACUGAAACUUUUGUAGGUUGGGAACAGUGAGACCAUAGGCAGCGCCUAGGAAAUGCUUUCUGGCUGACUUUACAGUGACAAAAUUGCAAAAGUAGUGACAUUCAGAAUCCUAUGUAAUCUGUAAUAUGUGAACCAGACAGUUUCAAAGGUAGAAUAGAUUUUAGAGAUCCUUUUGUAAAGAUAAACUUCAAGAGAGGUGUUAAUGCCUCUCAUUUGUGCAAGGGCUGUCACUUGCAGAAAUCCUGUGGCAUGAGAGUGCCAAGCUUUCAGCCUGUUAACUGCAUUUCUGGCAAUGACAAACUGUCUUGUUAGGAUGUUUGAAAUUAAUGGAUACCAGCUUCUGCAUGUGGAAAACUGAAACAUCAUCCCCCAAUGUGAUGGUUGUGAUCCACAUGUGCAGCUUCAGGUAGGAUGAUAGAAGAGAGCACGGCUGUCAAAAGUUAAAUGAUGUAGGAAAUUAUGUAAGUUGGAACAAUUCAAUAAGUAAAUAGUUAAAGAAAUAAAAGGAAAACAGCCCUCA